UAGGGAGUGCCCUUCGGGGAGCUGAGAGACAGGUGGUGCAUGGUUGUCGUCAGCUCGUGUCGUGAGAUGUUGGGUUAAGUCCCGCAACGAGCGCAACCCCUGUGUUUAGUUGCUAACGAGUAAUGUCGAGCACUCUAGACAGACUGCCGGUGAUAAACCGGAGGAAGGUGGGGAUGACGUCAAAUCAUCAUGCCCCUUAUGUCUCGGGCUACACACGUGCUACAAUGGCCAGUACAGACGGACGCGAAGCCGCGAGGUGAAGCAAAUCCGAGAAAGCUGGUCUCAGUUCGGAUUGCAGGCUGCAACUCGCCUGCAUGAAGUCGGAAUCGCUAGUAAUCGCAGGUCAGCAUACUGCGGUGAAUACGUUCCCGGGCCUUGUACACACCGCCCGUCACACCACGAAAGUCUGCAACACCCGAAGCCGGUGGGGUAACCCGCAAGGGAGCUAGCCGUCGAAGGUGGGGCCGAUAAUUGGGGUGAAGUCGUAACAAGGUAACCGUA
rnacentral:rRNA from 1 species